UACGUAGGGGGCAAGCGUUGUCCGGAAUCAUUGGGCGUAAAGAGCUCGUAGGCGGCUUGUUGCGUCGACUGUGAAAACCCGCGGCUUAACCGCGGGCCUGCAGUUGAUACGGGCAGGCUAGAGUUCGGUAGGGGGAGACUGGAAUUCCUGGUGUAGCGGUGAAAUGCGCAGAUAUCAGGAGGAACACCGGUGGCGAAGGCGGGUCUCUGGGCCGAUACUGACGCUGAGGAGCGAAAGCGUGGGGAGCGAACAGG
rnacentral:rRNA from 1 species